AACGAACGCUGGCGGCAUGCCUAACACAUGCAAGUCGAACGAGACCUUCGGGUCUAGUGGCGCACGGGUGCGUAACGCGUGGGAACCUGCCCUUAGGUUCGGAAUAACUCUCCGAAAGGGGUGCUAAUACCGGAUAAUGUCUUCGGACCAAAGAUUUAUCGCCUUUGGAUGGGCCCGCGUUGGAUUAGCUAGUUGGUAGGGUAGAAGCCUACCAAGGCGACGAUCCAUAGCUGGUCUGAGAGGAUGAUCAGCCACACUGGGACUGAGACACGGCCCAGACUCCUACGGGAGGCAGCAGUGGGGAAUAUUGGACAAUGGGCGAAAGCCUGAUCCAGCAAUGCCGCGUGAGUGAUGAAGGCCUUAGGGUUGUAAAGCUCUUUUACCCGGGAUGAUAAUGACAGUACCGGGAGAAUAAGCUCCGGCUAACUCCGUG
rnacentral:rRNA from 1 species